rnacentral:tRNA from 1 species
GCCUGGAUAGCUCAGCUGGGAGAGCAUCAGACUUUUAAUCUGAGGGUCCAGGGUUCAAGCCCCUGUUCAGGCN